rnacentral:precursor_RNA from 1 species
CUUACCAAGCACAGCACGGCUCGCUGCGACGAAGCUGCACUGGAGUGAAGGGCCAGACGAGCUGGUUGCCUGAGUGAGACC